rnacentral:tRNA from 1 species
GGGUGAUUAGCUCAGUGGUAGAGCAUCUCGUUUACACCGAGGGGGUCGGCAGUUCGAAUCUGUCAUCGCCCACCA